GCCAGAUGCGGUGGUGCACGCCUGUAGUCCCAGUAGCUCAGGAGGCUGAGACAGGAGGAUCGCCAGUUCAAAGCCAGCCUCAGCAAUGGCGAGGCAUUUAGCAACUCAGUGAGACCCUGUCUCUA
rnacentral:sRNA from 1 species